rnacentral:lncRNA from 1 species
UUGGAACUUAUUGCUUUUAUAAUUGAUUAACUGAGCGACAUAUCAAAAGUUACAAUUAUAAAUGAACUCGCGUUGUUUGCCAGACAUGAAAACGUACGAAGUAAAGACAUCCCAACUAUGUUGACACCGUUUAAUCACCCAAUAAACAAGCUAAUUCAAUUCUUAAAUUUAUUAAAAAGAGAACAUGAAAACAUGGGGGGACUAGACCAAUACCCAAGUGGGAGUGAACAAACACAAUUUUGUUUUUUGAACAGCAAAUAUAUUAUUAAUUAUAACCUGUCUUUGCACAAGAUGAAUAUAGGCCGGGAACACUGGAACUACAAAUCAAAAGUGUCGUAUAUAAGCGGAACACCAAAGAGGAAAACCAAAACAAACACCACCUAAUAGAGGUCUACUUUUGAUCCCAUUCUUAGAAGGACACUCUCCGGCCUCUAGACUACCAAGGAAGACAUCAGCCCGAUCCAUAAAGAUGCCCUUAGACUCUAACUCUCGAUCUUUAAUCAAAAGUGAUCGCAGUCCACCUCCAAACAGCAAAAAGAAAAUCAUUCCAAACACGCAAGCAAAAAAUUAACGGGGCAACGAUAGAAAGAAAAUCUAGGCAGAUAAGUCCCAGUUCGUAGUCUGCCUCCAAACAGUCAACACUGACACGAAAGAGGUCAUUCAGAUACAAAGAAACAUGCAAAUCUCAGCAGAUUUGGAAAACAUCAUAAACUCAAAAAGGAAUCCUGCAAAUCUCAACAGAUUUGGAAGCUGGUCAAAGAAUCCUGUAUCUUAGAAAAUCAAUCACACGUCAUCAACCACACACCAACGACGCCAGAUCCAACACCACCACGUUACCACCUCACCACCACAACCCCUAAACAGAACCUCCAUUUCUUUAAUAGAAUCACUCCAGUUGCUGACACAUGUGAUUAAUUUCUAAUCAAGAACCACAACAUCCCUCAUCACCUCCAACCCCCACAACCACCCCAUCUUAAAACCAACAGCCACCAAACUGAGCACCAUUAUAACGUCGCCAGGCCGCCAGCCCCAAAACCACCACCCUUAACCCACGGAAAUGAAAACCAACCACCCUCGUGACCACCACCCACAACCCAUAAGACACGAAAACGGCUAUAAAAACCAAGAUCCACAACCAAAACGGCCAGAACUGGAAACCAACACUCACUGUGACCCAAUCCAAACGCCGAGGAACUAUAAGAAACGAUGGCAGAGGAGAAAAACUCAAGCAGGAAUGGUGACGGCCGCCGGAAGCAAAAAAUUGACGGGGCAACGGUAGAAAGAAAAUCUAGGCAGAUAAGUCCCAGUUCGCAGUCCGCCUCCAAACAGUCAACACUGACACGAAAGAGGUCCACCAGAUACAAAGAAACAUGCAAAUCUCAACAGAUUUGAAAGCUGGUCAGAGAAUCUCGUAUCUUAGAAAACCAAUCACAUGUCAUCAACCACACACCAGCGACGCCAGAUCCAACACCGCCACGUUAGCACCUCACCACCACACCCCCCUAAACAGAACCUUCGUUUCUUUAAUAGAAUCAUUCCACUUGCUGACACGCGUGAUUAAUUUCUAAUCAAGCACCACAACAUCACUCACCACCACAACAUCCCUCAUCACCUCCAACUCCAACCCCAACCAACCACCCCAUCUUAAAACCAACAGCCUCAAAAAAAUGAUCUAACCAAAUCGACCAUUUUCAUGAGAUAUUGCAGGCAAUUAACACUAAAAAUUAAAAUUGUGUUAUAAUUCAAUGUUCAACAAAAACAAGUGAAUUAAAUAGUACCUCGGAAGCAUUAGGUAGCAUGACCCAAAUUUAUUUAGGUCCAAUAGUACUAAAAUGUUGACGAACAUAAAGUUAGGUAGAUUCCUAGGAUGCUAGAAACAUUGGAACAAGAUGAAACCAAGACAAGAGACCAUGAUUAAUUGCUCAUUUUGUAUUCACAUUAUCAAAGCAAGAGAUUCAUUUCGUAUUUACAAUUUCACAUUAAUUGCAACCCUAUUUUUUUUUAUUUUUUUUUUUUGAAAAUGUUUGCAACCCUAUUUUUGAGUUAUAGAUAAAUUAGUUACACAUAUGAUCUUCUUUUAAGUAUAAUAGUUUGGUCUUCUACUCCUUAUAAUUCAAUUUUUGCUUAUAAAAAAUUAAAUAAAUAAUAGCAUCGUGAUAUAAGGGCAGCUUCUAGUAGAAUUUUAUGGGGACGGGAAUAAGGGCAUCACUCGAGCACAAAUACAAAGGGGGUCGGGAAAAUAAUCAUCCUCUUCGAACAUAUGACACUUCGGAUUCAUUGAAAGUGAUGAGCACAUAUCUUUUGGACAAUCAGAAUCUUGAGUACACAUAAUAAACGCUGCUGAAAAUGAGAAUAAAAGGAUGUUAUUAAAAUGUGCUAAAAUAUUUUGUAGGAAGUAACUACGAAAAUUUGAAAAUGAUAAAAAAUGGCUUACCGCCGUCAACAUUCAUUGCAACAAGAAAGAGUGAAAAAAAGAUAAUCAUAACAUAAACAAACUUGAUAGCUUCAGCCAUAUUUUCUCGAAUUUGUGUGUGAAAAAUUGAAUAUGAUUUUAUCACUUUAUAAUUUACGAAUUUCAUCUUCCUUACGUACAUCAUAUAGUUUUUAGCGCUUAUAAAAUUGUUAAA